UGCAGUUGUAGCAGACGACUUGCACAAAGAGAUGGACUGUAACCUAUACAAAGCACAUGAAGCAGAGGAGAAAAAUUUAUCAGGAUGGGGUAUCAGAGCUAAGUGGUUCAGGUAACAAGGUAAUGUUGUAUGAUGACAGUGACAAACUCAUAGAUAGCAGGUUUCUGAAGAAAGAUGAGGUGGUUAAAUGUGGCAGAAUGCUGACCAUGGAACCUCAUCUUGUUGAUGUUGGAGAUCUUGAAGCAAAUCAUGGGCAUCUUACAAAUUUAGAUGUCAGUGGAAGAGAUAAGAAAUUGAAUGAAAUGGCUAGAUACUGGGACAAAAGGGUACCUAUUAUUUGUUUCCUCUUAUUGCAGGCAUUAAGUUCCUUUUUGUAAAAUUUUUGUACACCAGCAGCCAUUGCUUGGCGCAAUGGUAAAGGGCUUGGGCUGACAAGCAUAAUGGCUUUUCAAGUUCUGGGGCAGCUGAUUUGUGCAAAAUAAUGGCAAAGGUUAGGUCAAAUUUUGCAGACCAAGUUUAGGUUCUUGCUCAUGGUAAAGAACCUUUAUUACAGAAAACAGUAACAGCACAUUGCAGAGUAAACAACCAAAUAAAGUUUUCAAUGCGAUACAUUGCAGUAUCAAAGGUCAGUCGUUCUGCCACAUGUAAUUAUUUAACACAUUUAAUGGGUGAUUUCUGUCUAAUGUUUUGGUUGUUAUCCAAAGUACCCUUAUCCUCAGAUAAAAAACAUAUUGGAUGGUAGACUACCACAGACAUUGAAUUGCCAUACCAAGCACAUUAAAGAUUUUCUUAUUGAAUGAAGACGGUGCAGUACUGAGCAGCAAGUUCCUCAAGUCAACUGAACAUGUGGAAACAGGCAAUAAAUUUGAGUUGCCCAACUAUCUCGUUGAAGUUUCCAGGAAGCCUGCCAUAUCAUGUCUAUUCUUCAGAAGCCACUACCAAAAAGAAUCAGACUGCAUUGUAUUGGAUGUACAAGGUCAUACCAAGAAAGAGCAUAGUGUGCCGGGACGAAUUUUUUGAGGGAAACUGCUAGUGGCAAACAUGAAUAUGACUCUGUUGGCGGUGCCAUUCAAACUUCUACAUUGGUUAUUUUCUUGCAGUGUGAUCAGAAGCCCUAUGUAAAUUUCAAAGCUUCUCACGAACUUCAUAAAUCAGGCAUUGCAUUGCAGUGGGCACUGAUAGUGAAGAAAAAACACCAUCAGUUGAUUAUUCAUCUUCUUGCAAUUGGUUAUCGGGGUAUGCGUUCUACAUUUUCAAGUUAUUGUAAGUUAGAAUUUCAGUCAUGCAAUAGUCAAAUAUACAAUUUAUGUAAGUUCUGAUCAUCCAAAAUCUGAACUACGUAGGACUUAAAGCUGUAGUUUAUU